rnacentral:rRNA from 1 species
GACGAACGCUGGCGGCGUGCCUAAUACAUGCAAGUUGAACGCUGAAGGUGGAGCUUGCUUCUGUGGAUGUGUUGAGCACGGGUGUGUGUAGCGCGGGGAACAUGCCUGGUAGCGGGGGGGAAAUCUUGGGAACGCUAGUUAUUAUAGCACAUUAGUAGAUGAUGCAUGACAUUUGCGUAUAAGAUAUACUAGCGCAACUACCAGAUGUACUUGCGUUGUAUUAGCUAGUUGGUGAGGUAACGGCUCACCAAGGCGACGAUACAUAGCCGACCUGAGAGGGUGAUCGGCCACACUGGGACUGAGACACGGCCCAAACUCCUACGGGAGACAGCAGUAGGGAAUCUUCGGCAAUGGACGAAAGUCUGACCGAGCAACGCCGCGUGAGUGAAGAAGGUUUUCGGAUCGUAAAGCUCUGUUGGUAGAGAAGAACGUUGGUGAGAGUGGAAAGUUCACACAGUGACGGUAACUAACCAGAAAGGGACGGCUAACUACGUG